AGUAAAAUUCUCGAAAUUGUAUGGGCAAGUAGAGCACAAAUGAAAGUGAAUUUGGUCUUUGAUGGACUCUUCGAAUUUAAAGGUUUGCAUAUAAUUUAAAUUAAGUGUUUUUGUUUGGUAACUGUUAAUACAAACUUAUAUUGGUCGUCCGUUUCAUUUCUUGUUCCUUCUCUGAAAAUCCAACCAGAUCCCACCUGUGGAACGUUCCGAUAUCAGAACCGUUCCUGACCUUGUUUCAACAAAGAGAUCAGUGAUCCAAUCCACCGGAAGCCAAAUUUGGUGCAUUCCGGCAGCACAACCUAAAAUUUGGAAUAUGAGGUUUAAUUAUAAAAUAAUUUGCGUUUGAUAUGAUUGACACUCGACGAAUUAACAGCGAGGGUUCCGUUUUCUAAAGAUGAUGGGCCAUUAAAGGCGGCGUUCAAACCGGUCAUUCCGACGGAAGAACAUUUUUCAAAUAAAAAAAUGAAAUUCCUACUCCCGAAACCGCUCAAACAAACAAAAUUUAUUUACCUAGCUUUCUGGCAUCUCUGCGCCUCGAAAUAUACACCCAAAAUAAUUUAGAAAUUUAUUCUACGGUAUUUUUCACGUAAACGAAGAUUUUGUUGCAUCUGAUCGAUUCUACGUGAUUUUGUAAUACCUUCAUUCCUUCCUCAUAGACGACACAUGAAAUUCACGUAAAGUCUUAGUGAAUUCAAUUUUUUCAUUUUUCUCAAGCGUAUGGUUGAAAAUUCUUAUUAGAAAAAGCUGAUUUUGUUAGCCGUCGUCAAAAAUGUUUUUGUCAGUUGACAAAGGAAUUUGUUCUCAAUCGUCUUGAAUCUUGCAUAUGUCUUCUGUAAUCGCUGUGGCUGCAAGUGCCCUUUCGUUGGAACUGGUGGUGGUCAUUCGUUCUUUGGUUCGAGUCCCACCGUAGGAUGUCCGGGUUAAACGAAACGAAAUUACGCAAGGAUCCCACAAAGCAACUCGCCGGCCAAAGGUCCCGCAUUUUGUUUAGAUCACGAAUUUAGUAUAGUGUGUGGCGA